GACGAACGCUGGCGGCGUGGAUUAGGCAUGCAAGUCGAACGGUAGGAUACCUUCGGGGUAUCUGAGAGUGGCGAACGGGGUGAGUAACACGUAGGUGAUCUACCCUCAAGAUUGGGACAACCCAGGGAAACUUGGGCUAAUACCGGAUGAAAGCAGCAGUGAUGUUGUUUGAAAGGUGGCGUAAGCUGCCGUUUGGGGAUGAGCCUGCGCUCUAUUAGUUAGUUGGCGGGGUAAAGGCCCACCAAGGCGAUGAUAGAUAGGCGGCCUUAACGGGUGGUCGCCCACACUGGGAUUGAGAUACGGCCCAGACUCCUACGGGAGGCAGCAGUCGAGAAUAGUCUACAAUGGCCGAAAGGCUGAUAGUGCGACGCCGCGUGAACGAAGAAGCCCUUCGGGGUGUAAAGUUCUUUUAUAUGUGAGCAGUGCUUUCUAUGUGAACAGCAUGGGGAGAGAGAUAUUAGCAUAUGAAUAAGCAACGGCUAACUCCGUGCCAGCA
rnacentral:rRNA from 1 species